GCUGUUCGCGUGACUGCCGACAUGCGGUUCGGCGCCAAGCUUUUCUUUGCUUGGGGCAGCGCCCGGAGGCCUUCGGUUUUGAGCCGGGCCUGCAGAGUCUUGAAACGCACUGAUAAAACAUGAGAUGGAAACCAAGAUGAUGUUUGGUUUUAUUUCUUAAAAAUGCAAUGGCUCGAAGGACUUCCGGUAAGAUGGCGGAAUAGACAGACGCU